rnacentral:rRNA from 1 species
UGAGCAACCUGCCCUUGGCUUCGGGAUAACUCCGGGAAACCGGGGCUAAUACCGGAUGUGACAUGCCCGCGCAUGGGGGUGUGUGGAAAGAUUUAUCGGCCAGGGAUGGGCUCGCGGCCUAUCAGCUUGUUGGUGGGGUGAUGGCCUACCAAGGCGACGACGGGUAGCCGGCCUGAGAGGGUGACCGGCCACACUGGGACUGAGACACGGCCCAGACUCCUACGGGAGGCA